UUUUCCCAGAUGAACAUGAAGAUCUCUAUCUUUGCGGUGUUCUGCUGAUCUCUGCUGUCGGGCUCUCUGUGGACGGAGAAAACUCCCGCUGAGAUGUUCAAGCCACAGCAUUUCAACAAGGUG